rnacentral:rRNA from 1 species
UACGAGGGGUGCAAGCGUUACUCGGAAUUACUGGGCGUAAAGCGUGCGUAGGCGGUUCGUUAAGUCUGUCGUGAAAGCCCUGGGCUCAACCUGGGAAUUGCGAUGGAUACUGGCGAGCUAGAGUACGGUAGAGGAUGGUGGAAUUCCCGGUGUAGCGGUGAAAUGCGUAGAGAUCGGGAGGAACACCCGUGGCGAAGGCGGCCAUCUGGACCAGUACUGACGCUGAGGCACGAAAGCGUGGGGAGCAAACAGG